AUGAGUCUACGAACUUUGUUUCAUACCAUUCAGAAAGAAAUGGCCGAUGGCAGUUUUGAAGGGGCAGAAAGAGAUGCUGCAGAAGACACAGAUGAGCUUCUUUACACUGACCUGGAUGAAGACAGCAAUGCCCCUCUGCCACAGGAUCACUGUGACCUCCUCCUAGAUGCCAUCGAUGCCCAGCUGAGGCGCCUGCAGGUGCAGAGCCAUAGCAAUGGCAUUGAAGGUAUCUCCAGAAAACAUGAUUGCCUCAAUACAGCUCAUCUUAGCAGUAGCCAGUCUGUGAGCAGGGAUACAGGACUGGGAAGUACCAUCCCCACUAACGACACCCCCAUCUCUUGUCUUGACGUGGUACGCUCUGAGACCAGGGACCUAUCUUCAGUGCCUGGUCCUCCCAGCACUAGCAGUGUUCGUACAGGGGUUCUCAUUGAGGCCUGUUCCAGUCUGGAGCCUGAGGGAACCAAGGAGAACAGGCACCAUGCUGCUAGAACCACCACCAGACACCUGGCAGGAGUGCCUGUGUGGAAUUUUGACACAGUGACCAUAGACAGUGACCUGGACUCAGUACGCACAGAGAAGGUCUGGCAACACAUCCACAGCAGGCCAGGAUACCUGUCAGCCAUUCGGUCUGUCAGCCGCGUGGAUGGUCUCGACACUGACCAGAGUGACUAUGACACACCCACUCUGGAGCCAAGGAAUCUCAAGUUUACUCCAGCACUGAUCGCUAGCAAUGGAAAUGUGACCAGUGACAGUCUACCUCUUCGUAAAGCACACAAAAGCAGAAGAGACACUCACAGGUGUGGGCUCUCUGUGGAUGAUGAUGAUGAGGACACAGAUGAGGGCUGUGUCCGCUGGAGGAGGAGACGUAGGCCUGACAAGGACACAGGGGGACAUGUGUGUACGAGGCCUGGGGGUCGUCUGGAGGAGGUGAGGUCAGACUGGCUACAGAUGGAGGAGGAGCUGGCUACCCUCAGACAGGACUGUGAGAAGGAGGAGAAGAGGCUGAGGAUGAAGAGAGCUCAGCUGUGUGAGACUGAACUGUCCCUCACUGACCUUCUUCAGAAAAGAAAACAUGCCAUGCAGGAGUGGGAGCAGCUGCGUGCGGGGGCAGAGCAGAUGGAAAGGGAGGGGAGGAGUCUGGAGGCCAGCCUGAGAGACAGCAAGGCAGAAGCAGACAGCACCAGUUCUCAGCUGUGCCGGCUGCAGAGGCAGAGGGACUCCUGUUUGCAGAAGGUCAGGAAUCUGAAGGAGGAGCUGGCUGCUCUAUGUAAACACAGAACUGCCUUAACGGAUGGGACCUGCAUGGACAGGAGAGUGACCAGUGUCAGUAUGUCUGUCCUUGAGAGAGAGGAGUUGGACAGACAGCUGAACAGUGCCAAGACAGAGCUGUUUUCUGAGCAGCGGUGCUCUAGACUCAAACUGGACUCUAUGCAAGAGAAGUUGGACGAAGCUCACGAGGAGCUCCAGCGUGUAACAGAGGAGGAGAAGUUACUGAGGGAUAGGUGUGCAUGUCUGGAGGAGAAACACAGACUGAAACAGGAGGAGGAGGAGGCAGUGGAGGUGCAGGUGUGUGAGCUACAGAAAGAGCUGGGGGAGAGUGAGAGCAGGGUGGAGAGGAUAGUAGCCCAGAAGGAGCUGCAGCUGCUGGGGUUCCAGGAGGAGAGGAGUGCCUUGCAGGCAGAGAGAGAUGGGCUCCAGGGGGAGCUCCGUAGCCUGAGGAAGCUGCACAGCAUCUCCCUGAGAGAGACCCAGGAGCAGGCACUCACGCAGACGCAGCGGGAGCUGGAGCAGCUGAAGAAAGAGUUGGCUUUGUCUCAUGAGAAACACAUCCAGCAGGCUCAUAUUCAAGCUGAAGAAGAGAAAACAGUUUCUCUCAGAGAACAGGCCCUGUCUCACACACAGCACAUUGAGUCCAUACAGAGCUGCAUCCAGAUGAAGGAGAAGGAGUGGUGGAAGCUGAGGGAGGCUCUUAAGGAGCAGAAGGAGGUGAUGAGGAGGCGAGAGGAGGAGCUGUGUGCGGAAGCUCGGGAGAUGAUGCACGGCACCAUAGAGAGUGAGAGGAAGAAAUGGGCGGCAGAGAAAGAAGCGGCUCUACAGUUGCAGUGUGGGAUACUGGAGGAGCAAGGCCGGGAGGCUCUGGAGAGAAUGAGGGGAGAGACUGAGAGAGAGAAGAGGAAUGCCUUGGCUCUUCAAAGCAAAGUGGUAGAACUGAGGACAAAAGUGCAGGAGUUGGAAAGUGAGGGCCUUGUGCAGCAGAGUGAGCAGGCGUCUGCUCUCGCUGCAAUGCGUAGGUCCCUGAGAGAGAAGCACCAGGUUGAGCUACAGAGACUGCGCAGGCACAUGGAACAGGAGGGCGAGAGGGAAUCGUUGAGGCUGGAGCAGGUUGUCCAACAAGCAGAGGAGGAGGCUGGUAGACUGCAGGUGCUGCUGGGGGAGAGGGAGCACAUCCACAAGCAGGCCACAGCCAGGCUGGAGCAGCAGCACAGACACUGGGCCCAGGAGAUGGGGGCAGAGUGUCAGCAUCUUCAGCACCUGCUGGAACACAGUGGGGCCGUAGGGAGCUCCCUUCAGCUCCCACACAGUCCUACGGUGGCCCAGGCAGUCCAAACCCUGCAGGUCCUCAGAGAGCAGUUGCAGCAGUCAAUCAGUCAACUACAGCAGGAGCUUGACUUACAGAGACGCAGCACUCAGCAGCUGAGCCGGGACAAAGAGCGGGAGUUCCGUAUUCUGAGGGAACAGAUGGAGACGGAGAGACAGCAGGCUCUGGACUCACUGAAGGAGACACUCAUUCAGGAGCACAUUGAGGAGCUGAGCGAUCUGCAGCAGGCCCAGGUGCGGGAGGAAGGAGACGAGACAGGAGGUUUGGCUGCGUCCCUGCGCAGGCAGCUGCAGGCCAAAGACCAGGAACUGCGCCGGGUGCAGAGGAGCAUGGGACAGUGGAAGGAGCAGACCACUGCACGCCUGGCACGCAAGUUUGAGGAGGAGUUGACAGCCGAACUGGAGAGGUGCAAGGCAAAGUUGUUAAAGGGGAGAAAGGCACCUAAGGCACAAGAGGAGAAGCAGAGGAAGCUGGAGAAACUGGAAGGGGAGAUGAGACGCAUUACUGGGGAAUGCACUGACUCUGGAGCUCAGCAAUCAGCCUCCUCUCCCUCACUCCACAUUGGGGAAGCCCCUACCUCCCCCGGGUCCUCAGACCUGGCCUCCUUCAAGCUACUGCGUCACCUACAGAGCCGGGUCAAACAGCUCCGUGCUGAGAACCAGGCCCAUGCCCAUGCCUGCAGCCCCUCUCAAUUGGGCAGGACCCCUCUAGGCAGGGCCCCAAUGGAGCUGGCUGGUUCCUACCUGGAGACGAUCACACCAUCCCAGGAAUGCACUCAGUUUUGGAGUCGUUCCCGUUCCAGGACAGUACAGGGUGAAGGAUUGUGAGCUUUGCCAGAUGACGUGUGUGUGUUUGUAAAAUGAAUUACUGGAGGACAGCAAUCUCAAAUCAUUUCAAUGUACUCCUGAAAAGGAUGACACUACAUGAUCAGGGUAAAUGGCCUCAAGGUCAAAAUGGGUUAAGUUGGCAUUCUUCUUCUGCCUUUGGAGGAAUUAAGUCUUACUGCUAGGCUAAAGGUUGGGGAAUGUUUGAUGAACCAACUGACAUGUCUGCAUAGUGCCUAUUCCGGAGCUGUGACUCUUUAGGCAGUGGGAUCAAGCUGAAAUUAGGACCAUUUGAAGAAGAAAGUAAUCUUGUGUCAGUUUCUUUCUAUGUUGCAACAGAGCUAUUGUAAUUAUUAUGCUCAAUGUACACUCACAGGACAGUUUAUUGGGUGCACCUAUUUAGUACAGGGUCGGACCCCCCUUUGCCUCCAGAACAGCCUGGAUUCUUUGGGGCAAGUUGGAAACGUUCCACAGGUAUGUUGGUCCAUGCUGAAGCAAUGGUGUCAUGCAGUUGCUGUAGAUUGAACGGCUUUACCAUUGACAACAGGCAGGAUGGGUCCAUGGACUCAUGCUACUUAUGCCAAAUCCUGACUCUGCCAUCAGCAUGACGCAACAGGAACCAGGAUUUGUUGGACUAGGUGAUGCUUUCCACUUCUCAGUUGUCCAGUGUUGGUGAUCGUGUGUCCACUGGAGAGGUUUCUUCUUGUUUUUAGCUGUUAGGAGUGGAACCUGGUGUGGUCGUCUGCUGCAAAAGCCCACCUGUGAAAAUGAUCAACAAGUUCUGAGUUCCGAGAUGCCGUUCUGCACACCACUGUUGUACUGCGACAUUAUUUGUCUGUUUGUGGCCCACCUGUUAGCAUGCACAAUUCUUGCCAUUCUCCUUCGACCUCUCAUCAACAAUCUGUUUUCGCCCACAGGGCUGCCACUGACUGGUUGUUUAUUGUUUGUCGCACCAUUCUUGGUAAACCCUAGACACUGUCGUGCCUGAAUAGCCCGGGAGGGUGGCCGUUUCUGAGAUACUGGAUCGUCCUGGCACGGACAAUCAUACCACGCUCCAAGUCGCUUAUGUCACUGUUUUUUCCCCAUUCUACCAUUCAAAUGAACAGUAACUGAAUGCCUUGAUGCAUGUCUGCCUGCUUUAUAUACCAAUCCACAGCCACGUGAUCCAUUUUUGUGAACGGGGUGGUGUACCUAAUAAACUGGCUAGUGAGUGUACACUAUUUUGUUAGGACCUGGAAUAAACAUGAACUAUUUAACAUCUGUGAUGUUUUCAUACUGUAUGUACUGUUGUCCCUUUGGCAUUAAAACAUUGUACAUGAACACCAUAAGCAAUAAAGAAUUUAUUUAGAAACAGAUAAAGUUCAACUAGCCACUCAACUAGCCAAUGUUUCUGUUAAGGUGCAUAUGAGAGGAUACAAUCAAAGUGUACAAUGAUGGUGAAUUUUAGUACAUUCAUUAUUUUUCACAUUAUUGUAGGAAGACCAACUUUAUUCUUGAAUGCGGAAACAAGGACCAAACCACCUUUUAACAGUAACCGUUCUUAAAAACAUAACCCAACUGGGGCUAAAAGAUGAGUAUAAAACUUUCAUACUGACAUUAUCGGAGCUCAAUGCCCGUUCUUCCCUUUGAAUAAAGUCGAAUGAAUGACAUCCUUGUCCUUUGUAAACCAAUGCAUUGGCUAAGCACAGAUCAUAUUUACUUGCAUUUAAUGUAACUACAACAAAACAGAGACUUCUCCAAAUAGACUAAGCAGUCUGCUAUGAAACAGUUGUUACAUUAGAGUUAGAACAUAAGGUACUAGACAAUUCCCAAACAUCAGAAACGCUUGACGUGUGUUGCCACUGGUCUUAAAGCUUCAACAUAGACAUUUCAUUUAAGGGAUAGUUCAGGAUUUUGGCAAUUAAGCUCUUUAUCUACUUUCAUGCUAGCUGAUCCAAAAGACUUCCAGUCUUUGCGCUAACGCUAGUUAGCAUUGGCUCGUGAAACUACCUCUAACUUCCUUCAUACUGGACGCAGACAUAGAAAUGGUAUCCACGAGUUCAUCUGAAGUAGAUAAAGAUCUUCUUUGCCAAAAUCACAAACGAUCCCUUUAAAAGGUGUCUUCAUAAAAUUACUGUGGCUUUGUGGUCCUUGCUAUAAUUUUUCCAAUUACAUAUUUUCCUGGAUCAUAGUAGACAAAGUGGUACUGCAAGAUUUAGGUCCUUUUUCUAAUUACCCAGAGUUAGAUUUUUAAGUCUCUGCAUGCAGUUUGGAGUUCAUUAAAGUUAGCAUAUCAUUAGCUUAGCACAAUUGCUGUAAGUCUGCAGGUACAGUAGCCAACUCCUCUUAAAUACAGGGAAAUAGACCUAGCUACUCCAAAGCUGGGUGUUUGGUAAUUUAUAGCUUUACAACAUUUAAUCAAUAUUUUUAUGAAUUUAUGAAUUUGACUGAUAAUCAUAAGAAACGAGGUUCGCUUCCUCAUUCUGUCCCGUUGUCACAUAGAUGACAACGUUGUAUCUGUCUCAAUGGUGCUGCCCGUACACUCAGACGACAUAAUGGGACAGAUACAACGUUAUCUCUAUACAUCUUUGUGCGACAACGGGACAGAAUGAGGAAAUGGAUAGAAUAUUGUUUCUAAUUAUCAAUAAAUACAUUUAAUUUAAGGGAUAGUUCAGGAUUUUGGCAAUGAAGCUCUUUAUCUACUUUCAUGCUAGCCUCAUUCAUUUGUAAAAUAUUGAUGACCAUUUAUAGCUUUGUAAGACUAUACAGUGCCUUCAGAAAGUAUUCAUAACUCUUGACAUUCCACAUUUUGUUGUGUUACAGCAGAAUUACAUUUAAAUUGAUUUGUGUUCCUGUUAGAGGAAUUCAAUUCCAAUAUGUUCAUUAACCAACUCAAUUAUAACAAAGCAAAACACUUUGUCAGUUUCUAAGAAUUUGUAAGGUUCUUAUUUGCAGAAAAUAGACAACGAUCAAGUCUCAAUAUUAAUCAAUAGUGUUUAUUCCCAAGAGCUCUAACCAUCAUUUCAUGUACAUUGGUUUAUAUACCUCUCAUUUCGUCAUAAAUGUCCCUCCUCCUCCAAGACAAUGACAAAGC
rnacentral:lncRNA from 13 species